rnacentral:rRNA from 1 species
GACGAACGCUGGCGGCGUGCUUAACACAUGCAAGUCGAACGGAAAGGCCCUGCUUUUGUGGGGUGCUCGAGUGGCGAACGGGUGCGUAACACGUGAGUAACCUUCCCUUGCCUUUGGGAUAACUUCAGGAAACUGGGGCUAAUACCGGAUAGGAGCUCCUGCUGCAAGGUGGGGGUUGGAAAGUUUCGGCGGUUGGGGAUGGACUCGCGGCUUAUCAGCUUGUUGGUGGGGUAGUGGCUUACCAAGGCUUUGACGGGUAGCCGGCCUGAGAGGGUGACCGGCCACAUUGGGACUGAGGUACGGCCCAGACUCCUACGGGAGGCAGCAGUGGGGAAUAUUGCACAAUGGGCGGAGGCCGUAUGCAGCAACGCCGCGUGCGGGAUGACGGCCUUCGGGUUGUAAACCGCUUUCGCCUGUGACGAAGCGUGAGUGACGGUAAUGGGUAAAGAAGCACCGGCUAACUACGUG